AUCCUUUUCUAGUUUAUAAAUGUGAUGACUGUGUUUUCAUACUCAUGUGAUAUGUGCCUCCUUCAAACCUUGUAACAAUGUCAGCACACUACCCUCCUGACA